AGUGAACGCUGGCGGCAGGCCUAACACAUGCAAGUCGAACGGCAGCACAGUAAGAGCUUGCUCUUACGGGUGGCGAGUGGCGGACGGGUGAGGAAUACAUCGGAAUCUACUUUUUCGUGGGGGAUAACGUAGGGAAACUUACGCUAAUACCGCAUACGACCUACGGGUGAAAGCAGGGGAUCUUCGGACCUUGCGCGAUUGAAUGAGCCGAUGUCGGAUUAGCUAGUUGGCGGGGUAAAGGCCCACCAAGGCGACGAUCCGUAGCUGGUCUGAGAGGAUGAUCAGCCACACUGGAACUGAGACACGGUCCAGACUCCUACGGGAGGCAGCAGUGGGGAAUAUUGGGCAAUGGGCGCAAGCCUGAUCCAGCCAUGCCGCGUGAGUGAAGAAGGCCUUCGGGUUGUAAAGCCCUUUUGUUGGGAAAGAAAAGCAGCAGGUUAAUACCCCGCUGUUCUGACGGUACCCAAAGAAUAAGCACCGGCUAACUUCGUG
rnacentral:rRNA from 1 species